AGGACGAACGCUGGCGGUGUGCUUCACACAUGCAAGUCGAACGAGGUAGCAAUACCUAGUGGCGGACGGGUGAGUAACGCGUGGGAAUCUGCCUUUAGAUGGGGGAUAACGGGUCGAAAGACUCGCUAAUACCGCAUAUGACGAAAAUUGAAAGGAGUAAUCCGUCUAAAGAUGAGCCCGCGUCCGAUUAGCUAGUUGGUAGAGUAAAAGCCUACCAAGGCGACGAUCGGUAGCUGGUCUGAGAGGAUGAUCAGCCACAAUGGGACUGAGACACGGCCCAUACUCCUACGGAAGGCAGCAGUGGGGAAUUUUACGCAAUGGGCGAAAGCCUGACGUAGCGACACCGCGUGAGCGAAGAAGCCCCUUGGGGUGUAAAGCUCUGUCAGCUGGAACGAAAAAAAUGACGGUACCAGCAGAGGAAGCAUCGGCUAACUACGUG
rnacentral:rRNA from 1 species